rnacentral:pre_miRNA from 1 species
AUGCACAUCACCUAGAGAUCUUGUUGCAAUGCAGAUUCCCAUUCAGGAGAUCUGGGUGGCUGCCUUCCUAAUUAGCUCCCAGGUGAUGUCAAU